rnacentral:lncRNA from 1 species
UAGCCAAGCGAGAUUGGUACGAUGUGACACCCCAAUAAUUCCACAUCGGAUGGGAAUGGGUUGUCAUUGGAUUUAUAAGAGACUUAGACACUAGUAAUAAUAACAUGGCUUAAGCAUUUUGGGUUGGUGGUUUGGGCUCAACGAGUUAUUAUUGCUAGUGGGCUGGGUCGUUACAUUUGGUAUCAGAGCCGGUUCACCAGCUGGACAUGUGUGGCGAGUUUCGACUGAGCCAGGGUCUGGAUGACGGGUUAGCGAGACGAGUCUCACAUCGCCAGGUGAUCUUGGGCCGUGUGUGUGAUUGGACUGACGAGGACGUCAGGG